rnacentral:miRNA from 1 species
GCGUGCGAGGAGCCAUGCAUG